rnacentral:rRNA from 1 species
CCUACGGGCGGCUGCAGUGGGGAAUAUUGGACAAUGGGGGAAACCCUGAUCCAGCAAUGCCGCGUGUGUGAAGAAGGCCUGCGGGUUGUAAAGCACUUUCGGUUGGGAAGAAAAGUUUUGCGCCAAUACCGCCGAACCUUGACGUUACUGACAGAAGAAGCACCGGCUAACUCUGUGCCAGCAGCCGCGGUAAUACAGAGGGUGCAAGCUUUAAUCGAAAUCACUGUACGUAGAGCGUGAAUUGGGGUGCGAAAUCCCCGGGCUUAACCUGGGAACGGCAUUCGAUACUACAUGGCUAGAGUAUGGUAGAGGGAAGUGGAAUUUCCGGUGUAGCGGUGAAAUGCGUAGAGAUCGGAAGGAACACCAAUGGCGAAGGCAGCUUCCUGGACUAAUACUGACACUGAGGCACGAAAGCGUGGGUAGCAAACAGGAUUAGAUACCCCUGUAGUC